rnacentral:rRNA from 1 species
CAAUAGCGUAUAUUAAAGUUGUUGCGGUUAAAAAGCUCGUAGUUGGAUUUCUGCCGAGGACGACCGGUCCGCCCUCUGGGUGUGUAUCUGGUUUGGCCUGGGCAUCUUCUUGGAGAACGUAGCUGCACUUGACUGUGUGGUGCGGUGUCCAGGACUUUUACUUUGAGGAAAUUAGAGUGUUUCAAGCAGGCACACGCCUUGAAUACAUUAGCAUGGAAUAAUAAGAUAGGACCUCGGUUCUAUUUUGUUGGUUUCUAGAGCUGAGGUAAUGAUUAAUAGGGAUAGUUGGGGGCAUUCGUAUUUAACUGUCAGAGGUGAAAUUCUUGGAUUUGUUAAAGACGGACUACUGCGGAAGCAUUUGCCAAGGAUGUUUUCAUUGA